rnacentral:rRNA from 1 species
GUAGGUGGCAAGCGUUGUCCGGAAUUAUUGUGCGUAAAGCGCGCGCAGGCGGUUCUUUAAGUUUGAUGUGAAAGCCCACGGCUCAACCGUGGAGGGUCAUUGGAAACUGGAGAACUUGAGUACAGAAGAGGAAAGCGGAAUUCCACGUGUAGCGGUGAAAUGCGUAGAGAUGUGGAGGAACACCAGUGGCGAAGGCGGCUUUCUGGUCUGUAACUGACGCUGAGGCGCGAAAGCGUGGGGAGCAAACAGGAUUAGAUACCCUGGUAGUCCACGCCGUAAACGAUGAGUGCUAAGUGUUAGGGGGUUUCCGCCCCCCUUAGUGCUGCAGCUAACGCAUUAAGCACUCCGCCUGGGAGUACGGCCGCAAGGCUG